rnacentral:lncRNA from 1 species
GGCUAAGAAGACCGAAAGCAUGGAGGCGAGGCUCGAAGCAAUGGAGCAACAGGUCUUCAAGAGAUGGUGUCGGGACCCCGAUCCUAAGCCAUAGGAAUCCAGCCUGUAACACAUCGCAUCUCCUUGCGGUCUCACUCACGGUUAACCCCGUGGCUGCAGCCCUACCUUAGCCGGGACCGUUUGCGCCUUUUGACUCGCGUAUGCAGUUGUGUCGCUAGCAAUCCAAUGACAAAGAACCCGGAUCGACAUGUCUAGUCAUAAACCAAAGUGGCUGUUCCGCACAGGGACAGGCAUACAUGACCCAGCAAAGCAGGUGUCGGUCACCAGCGAAUGUAGCCGAGUCGUAGCAAGCUAUAGGGACUCCACUACAUCGUGUGACAUUUUCCCAAAGGGUACAGACACAGCAGCUAAGAAGGACACACGCCGGUCAACCAAGGUGUCCGGAGCAGUAGCGAACUACCAUGGCUCGUUGGAUCACAAAGGGGCAUUUCCCUGUAAGGAAUGCUGCUAAAGCCUACGGCUAGGUAAUCGAACCCCAUACAUAUCAACUAUGACACACGUACGCAUGGCAUACUGAUAUGUAC